ACGGGCUUGUUCGGUUCUACCCCAAUCCAUAUGGAUUGAGAGGGAUUAAGGGGGUUUCAAUCCCUAGCAAGUCAAAAUCCCUCUCAAUCCAUAUCAACCCCCUCCAAUCCAUAUGGAUUGAAAAUAACCGAACAAGCCCUACCUGGGCAUAAAGCCGCCGGCCGCAACCCCCUCUGUUUCCUCGCUUCAUCAAACCAGUGUCAGGGUCGUACGCCUUUGCCAUAGCAGGGAAAGGUUGAGAGCCGGAGAGACCCGCCGUCGCAAAUUCCAUCGUUAAUCGGUGCCCGGAGAUCCACUGAGGGCCUGGGUGCUUCACUGGGUUGUCUGGUUUUCAUGCGUGGCCGAGGAGGGAAGGAUCGACCACUUGGGCGGUCAGAAUUCGUCGCCGGGCACACAACUCCGCCAUCGCUUCGCCGCCGCCGUGGACAUCUCACCGGCGGGUACCACACUGAGAAGAGCUAGUGGCUGAGGAGUCAGGUGUUCAGCAGUUAGAAGUUGCUGAGCAUGAGUUCAUUGAAGGAGAAGAAUAGGUGGCCCAGGAGGAGCCGCACAACGAGGAGUUCGACUUGAUCUAGGUGGCGUCUCCUAGACGACUUUAUGGCGCCAAGGAUGGACUUUAGUUCGCUUUAUAUUUAUCUUUUAUUUUGUAAGACUUCCGCUAUAUAAUAAUUACUUUUAUGAUAUUGUGACAUUUAUCUCUAUACAUUCUGUUAUUAUAUGUGUUGUU
rnacentral:lncRNA from 7 species